UCGAGGAUAGGUCAAUUGGUAGACCGCUCGGCUUUGACCCGGGAUGUUGGAGGUUCGAAUCCUCCUCCUCGAA
rnacentral:tRNA from 1 species